AGAUCGUAACAAGGUUCCGU
rnacentral:rRNA from 1 species